ACACUCCUGCGGGAGGCAGCAGUGGGGAAUAUUGCACAAUGGGCGCAAGCCUGAUGCAGCGACGCCGCGUGGGGGAUGAAGGCCUUCGGGUUGUAAACUCCUUUCGCUAGGGACGAAGCUUUUUUGUGACGGUACCUAGAUAAGAAGCACCGGCUAACUACGUGCCAGCAGCCGCGGUAAUACGUAGGGUGCGAGCGUUGUCCGGAAUUACUGGGCGUAAAGGGCUCGUAGGUGGUUUGUCGCGUCGUCUGUGAAAUUCUGGGGCUUAACUCCGGGCCUGCAGGCGAUACGGGCAUAACUUGAGUGCUGUAGGGGUAACUGGAAUUCCUGGUGUAUCGGUGAAAUGCGCAGAUAUCAGGAGGAACACCGAUGGCGAAGGCAGGUUACUGGGCAGUUACUGACGCUGAGGAGCGAAAGCAUGGGUAGCGAACAGGAUUAGAAACCCUUGUAGUCCCAU
rnacentral:rRNA from 1 species